AUGUCUACCCGACCGCACUGGUGCUGGCGUGCGUGCCGCGGAAGCCGCUGCCUCCGGCUCGGCAACCGGCUCCGAGCUGCCUCAUGUUGGAGAAGUUUGACAAAUAUUAGGAAGAAAAGAACAAUGUCGUGGUACAAGAUGAAUUACAUAGAGUGGGCCUUUGGAGAACUAUAUGGAAUAGGAAGUACGAGGUGUAGGACUGAGAUCAAAAUCGUGGAGAAAGAGUUGGCAAUCUUGUAUGACAAAUGUGUUUCCCAAGAUAAGCAAGCUGGAAAUGGAGAAAGUGUAUCUUCCUCUACAAACAUUCCUAGUAUCCCGGUUCAAGCUGGGUACGGGUCCUUCUUAUCGUCCCGUUCAACAAUAAUAUCAAAGAGUGAGUUGAGGAACUACUUAGAGGAUGAGGUUGAACCUCACAACAAGGAUCUUGAUCUUCUUGGUUGUUGGAAAGGCAAUGCUCCUAGGUACCCAAUUAUGGCCAAGAUAGCCAGGAGGUUCCUCACUAUCCUGGCUACCUCCGUGUCUUCAGAAUCUACCUUCAGCACGACCGGAAUGAUUUUAGAUGACUACAAGAGUUCGUUAAGACCGGUUAUGGUGGAGGCAUUAGUUUGUGGUGCAAGUUAUAUCAAGGGUGCUCACGUUGACUUGAAUCUGGUGUCGAGGGAUGAGAAUGAAGAGGAUGGUGUUGAAACCAUCAAGUUACCCAUCAUGGAGGAGAUCAACGAUUGA
rnacentral:rRNA from 1 species